rnacentral:rRNA from 1 species
AAAGCCAGGGGAUCGCAAGACCUUGCGCUUUUGGAGCGGCCGAUGUCUGAUUAGCUAGUUGGUGAGGUAAAGGCUUACCAAGGCUUCGAUCAGUAGCUGGUCUGAGAGGACGACCAGCCACACUGGGACUGAGACACGGCCCAGACUCCUACGGGAGGCAGCAGUGGGGAAUUUUGGACAAUGGGGGAAACCCUGAUCCAGCCAUGCCGCGUGAGUGAAGAAGGCCUUCGGGUUGUAAAGCUCUUUCAGCCGGAACGAAAAGGUUACGGUUAAUACCCGUGACUAAUGACGGUACCGGAAGAAGAAGCACCGGCUAACUACGUGCCAGCAGCCGCGGUAAUACGUAGGGUGCGAGCGUUAAUCGGAAUUACUGGGCGUAAAGCGUGCGCAGGCGGU